rnacentral:rRNA from 1 species
UACGUAGGGGGCGAGCGUUGUCCGGAUUUAUUGGGCGUAAAGAGCUCGUAGGCGGCUUGGCAAGUCGGGUGUGAAACCUCCAGGCUCAACCUGGAGACGCCACUCGAUACUGCUAUGGCUAGAGUCCGGUAGGGGACCACGGAAUUCCUGGUGUAGCGGUGAAAUGCGCAGAUAUCAGGAGGAACACCCGUAGCGAAGGCGGCACUCUGGGCCGGUACUGACGCUGAGGAGCGAAAGCAUGGGGAGCGAACAGG